rnacentral:rRNA from 1 species
UACGUAGGGUGCGAGCGUUGUCCGGAAUUAUUGGGCGUAAAGAGCUCGUAGGUGGCUUGUUGCGUCUGCCGUGAAAGCCCGUGGCUUAACUACGGGUCUGCGGUGGAUACGGGCAGGCUAGAGGCUGGUAGGGGCAAGCGGAAUUCCUGGUGUAGCGGUGAAAUGCGCAGAUAUCAGGAGGAACACCGGUGGCGAAGGCGGCUUGCUGGGCCGAUACUGACGCUGAGGAGCGAAAGCGUGGGGAGCGAACAGG